rnacentral:tRNA from 1 species
UGUAGCUUAGUGGUAAUAGUGCUUGCUUAGCAAGCAUGAGGACCUGGGUUCAAUCCUCAGCA